GUGCUUGCUUCGGCAACACACAUACUAAAUUUGGAAUGAUACAGAGAAGAUUUGCAUGACACACAAAUUCAUGAAGCAUUCCAUAAUUUU
ensembl:snRNA U6 U6 spliceosomal RNA